UACAGAGGUCUCAAGCGUUGUUCGGAUUCAUUGGGCGUAAAGGGUGCGUAGGCGGCGCUGUAAGUCGGGUGUGAAAUCUUGGAGCUUAACUCCGAAACUCCAUUCGAUACUGCCGUGCUUGAGGACUGGAGAGGAGACUGGAAUUUACGGUGUAGCGGUGAAAUGCGUAGAUAUCGUAAGGAAGACCAGUGGCGAAGGCGGGUCUCUGGACAGUUCCUGACGCUGAGGCACGAAGGCCAGGGGAGCAAACGGG
rnacentral:rRNA from 1 species